rnacentral:lncRNA from 1 species
CUCCUAGACCCUAUUUAAGGGCUGACUGCCACUAAGGAAGGAUUUCUCUCUGGAGGUUGCUCCUUGUGAAGUGUUCUGUGAGCCUACAACACUCUGAGUUUCUCUCCUCAGGUUACUGAUUCUUCCAGUGCUCCAUGUGGGCUCCCUGGGGAGCUGCACUCCAUGUUUUGGAUCCCCCAGUUUUGGAAAAUAGACAUUCAAAGAUGAAGAACUGACUUUAAAAUGGAAAAUCUUCCCUGUUCUAGUUGGAAAUAUUAAAUGUCUGCAGGACACAGCAGAUGAAGGCAAAAUGCUGCUUCACCAGCCUGUGUUCAGAAUACUUUUUAGUAAAGAUGUCAGAGAGAAACAAAGAAUAUCUAACGAAUAUUCCACAUUGAAGCUAUGGCAGUCUCUUUUGGAAAGUAUAACAAAGUUUCAGUGGCAGGAAAGCAAAAGACUCCAGUAGUCAUUUUUCCUUGAUCUUCAUGUUGUCCUAUAAGAAUCUCCAAGCCCACUCUGAGAAACUUGAUACUGAACAUGGGAAUUUUUUUUCCCCAGUAGACAAUUUGUCAGAACACAGUGAAAUUGGAUUACAUUCAUCAAUGUAUUUACCCCAAAU